GGUUAAGCGACUAAGCGUACACGGUGGAUGCCCUGGCAGUCAGAGGCGAUGAAGGACGUGCUAAUCUGCGAUAAGCGUCGGUAAGGUGAUAUGAACCGUUAUAACCGGCGAUUUCCGAAUGGGGAAACCCAGUGUGUUUCGACACACUAUCAUUAACUGAAUCCAUAGGUUAAUGAGGCGAACCGGGGGAACUGAAACAUCUAAGUACCCCGAGGAAAAGAAAUCAACCGAGAUUCCCCCAGUAGCGGCGAGCGAACGGGGAGCAGCCCAGAGCCUGAAUCAGUGUGUGUGUUAGUGGAAGCGUCUGGAAAGGCGCGCGAUACAGGGUGACAGCCCCGUACACAAAAAUGCACAUGCUGUGAGCUCGAUGAGUAGGGCGGGACACGUGGUAUCCUGUCUGAAUAUGGGGGGACCAUCCUCCAAGGCUAAAUACUCCUGACUGACCGAUAGUGAACCAGUACCGUGAGGGAAAGGCGAAAAGAACCCCGGCGAGGGGAGUGAAAAAGAACCUGAAACCGUGUACGUACAAGCAGUGGGAGCACGCUUAGGCGUGUGACUGCGUACCUUUUGUAUAAUGGGUCAGCGACUUAUAUUCUGUAGCAAGGUUAACCGAAUAGGGGAGCCGAAGGGAAACCGAGUCUUAACUGGGCGUUAAGUUGCAGGGUAUAGACCCGAAACCCGGUGAUCUAGCCAUGGGCAGGUUGAAGGUUGGGUAACACUAACUGGAGGACCGAACCGACUAAUGUUGAAAAAUUAGCGGAUGACUUGUGGCUGGGGGUGAAAGGCCAAUCAAACCGGGAGAUAGCUGGUUCUCCCCGAAAGCUAUUUAGGUAGCGCCUCGUGAAUUCAUCUCCGGGGGUAGAGCACUGUUUCGGCAAGGGGGUCAUCCCGACUUACCAACCCGAUGCAAACUGCGAAUACCGGAGAAUGUUAUCACGGGAGACACACGGCGGGUGCUAACGUCCGUCGUGAAGAGGGAAACAACCCAGACCGCCAGCUAAGGUCCCAAAGUCAUGGUUAAGUGGGAAACGAUGUGGGAAGGCCCAGACAGCCAGGAUGUUGGCUUAGAAGCAGCCAUCAUUUAAAGAAAGCGUAAUAGCUCACUGGUCGAGUCGGCCUGCGCGGAAGAUGUAACGGGGCUAAACCAUGCACCGAAGCUGCGGCAGCGACACUGUGUGUUGUUGGGUAGGGGAGCGUUCUGUAAGCCUGUGAAGGUGUGCUGUGAGGCAUGCUGGAGGUAUCAGAAGUGCGAAUGCUGACAUAAGUAACGAUAAAGCGGGUGAAAAGCCCGCUCGCCGGAAGACCAAGGGUUCCUGUCCAACGUUAAUCGGGGCAGGGUGAGUCGACCCCUAAGGCGAGGCCGAAAGGCGUAGUCGAUGGGAAACAGGUUAAUAUUCCUGUACUUGGUGUUACUGCGAAGGGGGGACGGAGAAGGCUAUGUUGGCCGGGCGACGGUUGUCCCGGUUUAAGCGUGUAGGCUGGUUUUCCAGGCAAAUCCGGAAAAUCAAGGCUGAGGCGUGAUGACGAGGCACUACGGUGCUGAAGCAACAAAUGCCCUGCUUCCAGGAAAAGCCUCUAAGCAUCAGGUAACAUCAAAUCGUACCCCAAACCGACACAGGUGGUCAGGUAGAGAAUACCAAGGCGCUUGAGAGAACUCGGGUGAAGGAACUAGGCAAAAUGGUGCCGUAACUUCGGGAGAAGGCACGCUGAUAUGUAGGUGAAGUCCCUCGCGGAUGGAGCUGAAAUCAGUCGAAGAUACCAGCUGGCUGCAACUGUUUAUUAAAAACACAGCACUGUGCAAACACGAAAGUGGACGUAUACGGUGUGACGCCUGCCCGGUGCCGGAAGGUUAAUUGAUGGGGUCAGCGCAAGCGAAGCUCUUGAUCGAAGCCCCGGUAAACGGCGGCCGUAACUAUAACGGUCCUAAGGUAGCGAAAUUCCUUGUCGGGUAAGUUCCGACCUGCACGAAUGGCGUAAUGAUGGCCAGGCUGUCUCCACCCGAGACUCAGUGAAAUUGAACUCGCUGUGAAGAUGCAGUGUACCCGCGGCAAGACGGAAAGACCCCGUGAACCUUUACUAUAGCUUGACACUGAACAUUGAGCCUUGAUGUGUAGGAUAGGUGGGAGGCUUUGAAGUGUGGACGCCAGUCUGCAUGGAGCCGACCUUGAAAUACCACCCUUUAAUGUUUGAUGUUCUAACGUUGACCCGUGAUCCGGGUUGCGGACAGUGUCUGGUGGGUAGUUUGACUGGGGCGGUCUCCUCCUAAAGAGUAACGGAGGAGCACGAAGGUUGGCUAAUCCUGGUCGGACAUCAGGAGGUUAGUGCAAUGGCAUAAGCCAGCUUGACUGCGAGCGUGACGGCGCGAGCAGGUGCGAAAGCAGGUCAUAGUGAUCCGGUGGUUCUGAAUGGAAGGGCCAUCGCUCAACGGAUAAAAGGUACUCCGGGGAUAACAGGCUGAUACCGCCCAAGAGUUCAUAUCGACGGCGGUGUUUGGCACCUCGAUGUCGGCUCAUCACAUCCUGGGGCUGAAGUAGGUCCCAAGGGUAUGGCUGUUCGCCAUUUAAAGUGGUACGCGAGCUGGGUUUAGAACGUCGUGAGACAGUUCGGUCCCUAUCUGCCGUGGGCGCUGGAGAACUGAGGGGGGCUGCUCCUAGUACGAGAGGACCGGAGUGGACGCAUCACUGGUGUUCGGGUUGUCAUGCCAAUGGCACUGCCCGGUAGCUAAAUGCGGAAGAGAUAAGUGCUGAAAGCAUCUAAGCACGAAACUUGCCCCGAGAUGAGUUCUCCCUGACUCCUUGAGAGUCCUGAAGGAACGUUGAAGACGACGACGUUGAUAGGCCGGGUGUGUAAGCGCAGCGAUGCGUUGAGCUAACCGGUACUAAUGAACCGUGAGGCUUAACCUU
rnacentral:rRNA from 1 species